UGGGGAAUUAGCUCAGUUGGUAGAGCGCUGCGAUCGCACCGCAGAGGCCAUCGGUUCAAAUCCGUUAUUCUCCAU
rnacentral:tRNA from 2 species